rnacentral:rRNA from 1 species
CCCUUAGAUGUUCUGGGCGGCCCGCGCACUACAAUGGCGCUUUCAGCGAGUUCCUAUGUUGAAUUUUCCUGGGUAUUCUUGGAAGCGGCGUCUUGACUUGGGAUAGAUCCUUGUAAUUGUUGGUUUUGAACGAGGAAUUCCUUGUAAUCGCGGUUGAUCAGCUCGCGUUGAAUACGUCCCUGCCCUUUGUACACACCGCCCGUCGCUCCUACCGAUUGAACGGUUUAGUGAGGGCCUCGGAUUGGUCUCGGCCCGCUCUUUACCGGGCGGCGCCGUUGGUCGAGAAGACGCUCGAACUUGAUCGUUUAGAGGAAGUAAAAGUCGUAACA